rnacentral:misc_RNA from 1 species
AAGGAUAUAUUCGGAACAUCUUCUACGAAGAUGAGGGAAUAACGUGACAUAUUGUAUUCAGUUUUGAAUGUUUAUUAACAUUCAUUUGUACAUUGAAAACUAGAUAAGUAAGUAAGAUUUUACCAAGCAAAACCGAGUGAAUAGAGUUUUAAAUAAGCUUGAAUUCAUAAAUAAUCGCUAGUGUUCGAAAGAACACUCAUCAAGAUUAAUAACUAGUUUUAGCUAUUUAUUUUGAAUAACAAUUCAAAAUAUGGUGGAAACAUA